rnacentral:rRNA from 1 species
ACGUACACUCCUGCGGGAGGCAGCAGUGGGGAAUAUUGGACAAUGGGCGCAAGCCUGAUCCAGCCAUGCCGCGUGAGUGAUGAAGGCCCUAGGGUUGUAAAGCUCUUUCACCGGAGAAGAUAAUGACGGUAUCCGGAGAAGAAGCCCCGGCUAACUUCGUGCCAGCAGCCGCGGUAAUACGAAGGGGGCUAGCGUUGUUCGGAAUUACUGGGCGUAAAGCGCACGUAGGCGGAUCGAUCAGUCAGGGGUGAAAUCCCAGGGCUCAACCCUGGAACUGCCUUUGAUACUGUCGAUCUGGAGUAUGGAAGAGGUGAGUGGAAUUCCGAGUGUAGAGGUGAAAUUCGUAGAUAUUCGGAGGAACACCAGUGGCGAAGGCGGCUCACUGGUCCAUUACUGACGCUGAGGUGCGAAAGCGUGGGGAGCAAACAGGAUUAGAUACCCUUGUAGUCCCAU